rnacentral:sRNA from 1 species
GUUUUGCGUGAGCGAUGGUAGUGAAAAUCCUUUUGUCUUGGCGGCGGCUUUGCCGCCGCCAAGACAAAAGAUUGUAGCGGACGUAGCGACCCGAG